UACACUCCUACGGGAGGCAGCAGUGGGGAAUAUUGGACAAUGGGCGCAAGCCUGAUCCAGCCAUGCCGCGUGAGUGAUGAAGGCCCUAGGGUUGUAAAGCUCUUUCACCGGUGAAGAUAAUGACGGUAACCGGAGAAGAAGCCCCGGCUAACUUCGUGCCAGCAGCCGCGGUAAUACGAAGGGGGCUAGCGUUGUUCGGAUUUACUGGGCGUAAAGCGCACGUAGGCGGACUAUUAAGUCAGGGGUGAAAUCCCGGGGCUCAACCCCGGAACUGCCUUUGAUACUGGUAGUCUUGAGUUCGAGAGAGGUGAGUGGAAUUCCGAGUGUAGAGGUGGAAUUCGUAGAUAUUCGGAGGAACACCAGUGGCGGAGGCGGCUCACUGGCUCGAUACUGACGCUGAGGUGCGAAAGCGUGGGGAGCAAACAGGAUUAGAAACCCGUGUAGUCCC
rnacentral:rRNA from 1 species